GCCGCGGCGGGGCCAAUCCCGCCUCUGGGCGCACCCGGCCGCCUCUCCCGGCCCGAGGCUUUCCCCAGCCCGCCCCGCCCCUCGGGCUCCCGGGCCGCCCCCGGCCCCCAUUCGGGCCCGGCCUCGCGGCGGCGGCGGCGGCGGCGGCGGCGGCAACAGCGACUCCGCAGCUCUGCCGAGUUCUGGAUCCCGGGAGUGGGCGCGGCGCGUGACCUCACUGGUGGUUUCUUCUGCCUACCUGCCCUGAGCUUUCCAAUUUACUCCAUUCCUGUGCUCUGAGAUCCCGGCCAUCCAGCUUGUUAGAGAUGAGCAGCCUGUAUCACGCGAGCCUGAGGGUGAGAAGGGUACCAGACUUGAGGAGUGCUUUCCUUCCUGUCCCUGGUCCUCUUCAGCGCUGCAGGGCACCUGAUGGGAGCAGAAUGAAUUAAACAUCGGGAAAAGGGCCACAUGUGCUGCUGUGCCACCCUCCCUCACUUUCCACCCCUAGUUCUG